AUGGUGCUGAUCUGAUGAUGGAGCUGGAAGGUGGCCAUAGGAACUCAGUAAUUAAGCGUCAUAACCUCAUCGAGUAUGAGCUCGUUUGAUUCGUUUUGACGAGUACUUUGGUGCUAGAUAGUAUCCAGGGUCUGAUGAUGAACGUGGAAGGUGGCCAUAGGAACUCAGUAAUUAAACUCAAAGAAAAUGGGCAUAUAAUACGCAAAACCCAAAUUUUGGUUGAUAAAAUAUAACAAGAAAAAAAAAAUAUCCGCCUAUAUUAUAG
rnacentral:misc_RNA from 1 species